UGAUUCGUCAAUGCUGAUUGUCAGCUUGAAAGUAAAGAUGAGCAAAGUGGUUCAACUGAAUCUUAUGGUUGCAGUAGGGCAUAUUAGAAGUAAGUGACAAGUAUGUGUCAGCAAUUGUUUAUGCUUCUUAACCCUAGAUACUUUUGAUUCAAUCCUUUUGGUGAUGACGUAAUGUGGCAGAGAAACAGUAGACACACUUCAUCUCAUCGGAAACCCUGAAUGAUUGGUAUUUGUGAGCAUGUGUGCCUGUGAGUGUGUAAGGGUGGAUGUGGGUGUGUGGGUAUGUAUGUGCGUAUGUGAGGGUGUGCGUGUCAUCUUACACGUAAUUUAGUGAAUGAGUGAAUUGGUACUAGUUUUCAAGUAAAUACGUGCAUGAGUGCGUGUAGUCAGUGGUGUAUGGAACUAGCAUUGUGCCUGCCUGCUGCCAACGAAAUAUGCAAGCCCACACAGAGAAAACAGUUUUAUUGUGCAAAACUACAUGCUGCUGGCAGGGUUUACAUGCAAGUCACAUAUUGCAGGUCUACCAUAAGCAGAGCGAUGUGACAUCUGAUAAGUACCUAACUCACAGCAACACAUACUCUGCAUGUCCAGGGAAAGUGAGUUGUGCUCGGAACAGAUUGGCCAGACAGUUUUGUCCUAUCAAAUUCAGAAUUGUUUCAUCCUCCUCACAGUUGCCAUUAACAUCAUGAGCACACAUUAUUGCUAGAUCUGAAUGCCAGCUGCCUAUUGCACCGCUGGCACGUAGUUUGAGACAAAGAUGCCGCCAGUUUUCCACCUCGCUGCUGAUACAAUGCAAUACUGCUACAAAAUGUCCGUGUUCUGUGUUUUUUAGUGUUGUAUGUUUGUAUAUGAGUCUUGCGUCGUGUGAACAUUACCUACAUGAGUUAAAGUGUUCCCGCGAAAGUAGGUACUGAAUUAGCUCAAGCCAGGAUUGCGUUGCGGAUAUAUUUGUAGGCCAUACAAUGUUUUAUGGCGUCAUUUACGACAUUUCCUGUUUUUCUUGUCGUUGUAUGCACGUGAGUUGUGCCGCAUGUUGCGCUUGUAAAUCAUGUUCUCAAUGUCAUUUUCUUUUGGUACAAUUGGUCACCACUACACAUCACUCGCAUACACUCGCCCAAGCAAGUCGGAUAUCAAUCACUGUCCAGAAGUGCAUGAUGCAUUCAACCACGCAUAGAACACUGGCACACCAAGAACAUGAACUCACGCAAAAACGAGAGGGCUAUCACACGACUUCGCAUUGGACACACCGCUAUCACACACAACUACAUCAUCACAAGAAGCCCGAGACCGAAAUGCAACACCUGCAACACUUUCAUCACUGUCAAACAUCUGCUACUCACAUGCCCACAAUACCAACACCACAGGACACACAUACAAACAUACUGCAGAGACGCCAACAUCCCACUAACACUCACAACACUGCUCGGGGACUUACACCCCGAGCUAACAACACUACUCAUCCACUAAAGACACAACACUGGGCUGAUCAAUGACCUGUAAAUCUCCUCCCCUAGAGCCAAGGACAAAAAAGCCAAAAAAGCCAAAAAAAAAGAAGCAAAAAAGAAAAAACAAUAUUCAAAACAAUGAGAAUCAAAAUAAAAGACCCCAGAAUGGCAAAAUGGCAAAAAAAAAACAAAAACAAAAAAAAAUAAUAGAAGGGGCAAUCCGGCUACCCGGGAGGAGAUAGCUAGGAACCCAGUCCCACCCCUCAGCCCACCCUUACGAGCCAAGAAGACAACGGACACUUCAAGGCAACGGACGGACCAACAACGAAGACGGACGACAGAACCGGGCCCAAAUACAGGACGCUGUGGUGGCCCGUAAGCUACAAAUACCAUACCAUACCAUACCAGUGCAUCAUGCAUCAGAAUAAGCUUCAUUGAACACACUCGUCAUCAUGAACGGCAUCUAGGAGUUUCAUGAGUUUGGAUCUGUGACCAGCUGAUUUCGCAGUAUCCAAUGGCAACCGUGUAUGACCAGGCGCCGCUUGGACGCCUUGUCCAGUCACGUCUUCUGGGACUGUGUGAUGACUGCCUCUGCAUUCUCAAGUGCCAGUUUCUGCCUCCGGCCCAUUUCAUUAUCAAAGGAUGCUGUUAGCUUAACGAACAGCUCUGCUCCAAGAUUCCAAACGGUUUUACGGUACUGUAUGCCUACAAAACGUUAAUAUUUUUUGGAGGCGGUAAUACUCGGAUGAACUGACCUUUAUGGGUGGGUAUUCAACGUUGAAUAAAGUAGGCUUGUAGCCCUCUGCCUAUUGACUUCUAAGGGUUUUAGUAAUAUUUAUCGAAUAUCUCAUCUGAUAUGCAUUUUCACUCACAGUCGUCGAAAUCGAAAAAUCAUAAGCUUAGAAAUCCGCGGACUUGACAUAUUAUAUUUUAUCGACGAUUCGUUUCGACUUGCUGUCAUGUCAGCUAAUCAUCCGUUGCUUCUCCUAUUUUCACAGGUGCAUUACCUGUCAUCUUUACCGUCGAUACCGUUGAAGAUUUUACCGUCGAUCACGGAGCACCCAUUGCGCUGGCCGUUGCUGGCACUUUUUUAUUUGUCACUAGCUAUUAGUUAUCUGCAGAUAUACAUUAGCCACCUGUACACCCGCUUACACUAGCUCUCAUCAUCUAGUUCUACGUAUGUGUGUGUUUGUUUUAAUUGUAUUGCCGAUGAAUUCGGUAGACAUGCUCCGCCCGCAAACAUGUACCACAUGAUGCAGUUCACUGAAUGUAGCAGUUAAUCACUCGUAAAAAGCGGUCAUGUUUUCGUAUAGUGUAGGUAUGCAUCUAUGUAAGCAUGUGUUCACACUCAUGAGCGAUCCACACAUGAUAUUGCAUUUCCUGUUCAGUUAUAUUUUUAGCACUGGAACACGAUGCUCAUACACUGUGUUGUUAUCUUUCUUUUUUCGCCUGCUCCUUCCUCCAACUUGUGUCUUUGAGUAUUUCAGUCACAUGCUCAAACGUUCUUAAAUGCUCUCGCCAUCGGUUUACGGAUGCGUUGAAAACGGACAUGUGAUGACCAAAUUUAACAAUAUGCGGACAAUGGAUCGACUUCUUGAAGCCUGUGGACGUGAUAGACCUUCUCCAUCACCAUCAAGAGAUCAACAUUUUCGAAGACACUUGCGUACGGCUGCAGUGUCCGGCGCAAUGCUGAAUGCGACCUGUUAUCUGUUGGAUCUACUCUGUGAGCCCGAACCCCAGUGCAAUGGCACUGUUCGACUAUAGCGCUGGACGUCGUCUACUUUUUGCUAGAGGGAAAGGUCAUCAUCCGUCCAUGAACUUCGGGCUGCUCACAGCUAUAUUGCCUUGGCAAGUUCUUUGAGCACUCAAUACUGGACUUGGGCUGCGAAAGCUAAUGACAAUUUGGGGAGCUUGAUAUUGCAAUGGCUAUGACGUGAAGGCUCAAUAUGACGAACAGCUGGACUAUUCACCAUUGUCAACGCUUAUGAUAGCUAAAUAUCAUUGUGCUUGGUGUACAUUCACGUCUCGUUUCCUUGCUCCAUUUGUACCUCACCGGUCGUCCGUCCCCACAGGCCUCGGCUGCAGCACAAGCCACAUUCAUCGGCCCAAUCAUCAGUUAUUCAUCCUGCAAGUUUUAAGUCACUUCGUUGUGACCCGGACAUCGUCAUCUUUCAACGAGUUCAAAUGAUUAUUUCAUUCAUCAUCGUCGAUCAGACUCAUCAUGUAAAGACACUUCCAUAAUGCUAGCCGCCAUCUACGUUUGUGCAGGAAGCAAAUAUCAGGUUGUUAUUAGCUGCGGGCUACUCAGUACCGACUGAACUACUGGCAGUAGUGUGCGAGCACCUAAUACUUGUAUUGUGAUACCAAAGCUAAAACGGAUGAUAGCUUAGCGCAUAGGGCCCUACCGCUUUCCACACACACACACACAAACAAAACUUGACUUUGGGCAUUAGCACCAUGGCAGGAUAAACAGGCAGUUUCGCUGUUUUUCACUGCUUUCAUUGGCAGGUGUUACUGCUCAUUCCCGUUUUAUGUGAUGUUAGAACAGCCCUUCACCAUAGUCCUGUUUUCUCCUUUGCCGUUUUCCAUAGACAUCAGAUGCGACAUGCACUCCAACGAUCGGUCAGGCGCAUCACCGUCAAUCCGGUCGCCUGUUAAGCAGUUCGUAAUCACCGUCAGUCUUCGACAUCUGUCAACACACUUAUCCACAUUAUCGCCUUACUUUUGAUCUUAUCAAUAUGCAAGAAUGAGUGCAAAAUGCAUUCCAAUAUUGCAUCAGUUGAUGUUGUAUCGCAAUGACACCGCGUCCUCACCUCACAUCUGUUGUGCAUACUUGAUCACGAAUGCCAGUUAUACGCAGAUUCACAUGGUGAAGUUUUACUCCGUUGACGUUUUCUUUCCAUUCUUGUAGUCGAUCAAGAGGGAUUACAGUUGCACAUGCGGCCUUACACAUGCGUCCUUACAUGUUAGCUGAUUGAUAUGUUGGACACACUGGUUCCUGUGACUCCAAGUAGUUCUGCAUUGGUAUUGCUUCACUUUAUAUGUUCUACCCAAAGAUCGUUUCUAGUUUUGUCUUAGCUUGCAGCUGUAUGCCAUGAACAUACAGGGUACUGCGCAUCUUUACCGUGACAUUCCUGUAGUUUCGUCACUUUCGCGGAUGAUUAGGACCAUGAGCUCAGUUGCAGAUGCGUCCAGCAGCCACCGACAUUUCUACACUUUAAAUUCCUAGUCUCGGAUCUUAUCCACAUACCAACAUGAUUUGAACAUUUCACACGUUUAGUGAUGAAAUGAGCAGGUAUCAUCUACUACAUUAUAUUUUCAUGUAAAGCACACUCCAGUCUGUGAAAAAAGAAAACCAUUAGGAGCAACAAUCAUGCCUUAGACAGUAUAGUUGCCAUAGAUAUUACGUUGUGCAGCGGGCAGGCCGGUGCACGAAAUGGCGAGUGUGAAUGCAGGAAUGCGUGUGAAAAACUGCCUAGGUGUGGAGUGGCUGGUUUGUCUUCCGUUACAUCGUAACGGGCUCUUGACGUAGUCUUUUUUUAGUAACACCAAUCAUCUUUCGAACUUGAAUUAACGUAAUUGAAAGAUGGCUAUCACAUUUGGAGCCAACUUAUUUGCUAAUUGCGUCAAGGGCGGGCAGCGCGGUGCGUGGAUGCCUUUUGGUAAAGCUCACGUCCUAAUAUACUAUCCUGCCCUUACCAAGCGUGCAUCCAUGUUUCCUCCAUCCGGCUCCUCGUGCCGCUGCCUGGAAUAUUAGCCUACGGCUAAUAUACCAAGAGAUGGAAAACUUUUCGUUGGUAUGGAAUAUGGAUGCCUCGUGGUUCAACUGGUGAUGUUCAAAACAACUGUACCGUGUGUCAGGUAGGUCUUACU